rnacentral:rRNA from 1 species
AUGGCUCAGGAUGAACGCUAGCUACAGGCUUAACACAUGCAAGUCGAGGGGCAGCAGGACGAUAGCUUGCUAUUGUUGCUGGCGACCGGCGCACGGGUGAGUAACGCGUAUCCAACCUUCCCCUUAGUAGGGCAUAGCCCGGUGAAAAUCGGAUUAAUACCCUAUGUUGUGUCAUGAGGACAUCUGAAUAACACUAAAGAUUUAUCGCUAAGGGAUGGGGAUGCGUCCGAUUAGGUAGUCGGCGGGGUAACGGCCCACCGAGCCCUCGAUCGGUAGGGGUUCUGAGAGGAAGGUCCCCCACACUGGUACUGAGACACGGACCAGACUCCUACGGGAGGCAGCAGUGAGGAAUAUUGGUCAAUGGGCGCGAGCCUGAACCAGCCAAGUAGCGUGCAGGAUGACGGCCCUAUGGGUUGUAAACUGCUUUUAUACGGGGAUAAAGUGAGGGACGUGUCCCUUAUUGUAGGUACCGUAUGAAUAAGGACCGGCUAAUUCCGUGCCAGCCGCAGC